rnacentral:rRNA from 1 species
GUYUUUUUGUUAAAAAUUUAAAGUCGGGCCUGCCCACUGAAAUUUUAAAUGGCCGUGGUAUUUUGACCGUGCUAAGGUAGCAUAAUCAUUAGUUUUUUAAUUGAAAGCUGGAAUGAAAGGUUUGAUAAAAAAAUGACUGUCUCUAUUUAAUUUUAUUAGAAAUUUAUUUUUAAGUUCAAAAGCUUAAUUUUUAUUAAAAGACGAGAAGACCCUAUAGAGUUUAAUAAUUUAAGGUAAUUUAUAUUUUAGAAUUAAUUUAUUUAUUUUUAAUAUUAUUUAAUUGGGGUGAUUGAAAAAUUUAAUUAACUUUUUUUAUAUUUAACCAUUAAUUUAUGAUAAUUUGAUCCAAUUUUUUUGAUUAUAAGAUAAAAUUACCUUAGGGAUAACAGCGUAAUUUUUUUAGAAAGUUCAAAUUAAAAGAAAAGAUUGCGACCUCGAUGUUGGAUUAAAAUUAAAUUUUGGUGUAGAAGCUAAAAAUUUUAAGUCUGUUCGACUUUUAAAAUUUUACA